rnacentral:rRNA from 1 species
GCAAGCGUUGUCCGGAAUCAUUGGGCGUAAAGCGCGCGUAGGCGGCCUCGUAAGUCCGUUGUGAAAGUCAAAGGCUCAACCUUUGAAAGCCGAUGGAUACUGUGAGGCUAGAGUCCGGAAGAGGCGAGUGGAAUUCCUGGUGUAGCGGUGGAAUGCGCAGAUAUCAGGAGGAACACCAAUAGCGAAGGCAGCUCGCUGGGACGGUACUGACGCUAAGGCGCGAAAGCGUGGGGAGCGAACAGG